rnacentral:lncRNA from 1 species
CAUUCUCCGCGAUUUAUCAUCUUCCUCUCACCCACUGCCUUCACGGCAUCCAAACAGAGCAUAUCUCCUCCCAGCCGAACCUCCCAACUCCACAUCAUCCCCAUCCCGUGAGCAGUUCAAACAGAGCCCGAGUCUUCAUCGAUCCAACCACCCACGGAUCUGUCUACCCUCCAUGGAUAGCUCCAAAUCUUCUCACACACCCAAAUCCGAACCACCUUCUCCCAGCUAACAGCAACACUCCCAGCUUCUUCAACCUCCUUCCGAAGUCCUCUCAACCGCAAGCACGUCCGCAGCCUCCUUCCCCUGUUUCGGAAUCCAAACUUCCCGCAUCCAUGGAUAAGAUCAAAGCCAGCAAGUCCUCUGCUUCGGAAUCAAAUCCCAACUUCCAGAUCACCUCUCAGCUGUCCAACAACUCGAUUAGUUCCAUCGUAUCCAGCCGUAAGCUUCAUCCUCUUCCCCUGAGAUCCAAAUAGCUCCUGCAUCCCAACAGAACAGAGGAUUGACUUCAUCUUCCCACGCGUCCGACUCUCCCGCGGCCAACAAAUUUCAGCUUCACCGUUCGGAUCAACCACAAAGCAAGGAGGGUGGGGUGCUGGUGAAGCUAUAAAAGGAGGAGAGCUAUCCU